GUUCGAAAGAGUUUUCCUUUUCACCAUGGUUGGUUGAAGUGCGUGGUUGUAUUUUAAUAAUUUAAUUUUCAAUUUUUAAUUUUUGAAAUUUUUAAAUUGAAUUCGGUCCGGAUAAUUUUACUUUAAAGAUAACAAGAAAUUAUGGAAUUAUAAAGAUGUAGUGGAAGUAGUGCACUUGAAUUUUGAUUUGGUUAACAUGUAAGAUGUGCUCUAAUCAGAAAAAAAAUUCCUAUAACAAAAUUGUUACUAAAGUGCA